rnacentral:rRNA from 1 species
GACAGAGGAGCCAAGCGUUGUCCGGACUGACUGGGCGUAAAGCGCCCCGCAGGCGGCCGUGCACGUGGGGUGUGAAAGCGCUCGGCUUAACUGAGCGAGGCCAUCCCAUACGGCGCGGCUCGAGCCGUCCAGAGGCCGGUGGAAUUGCCGGUGUAGUGGUGAAAUGCGUAGAGAUCGGGAGAGACACCCAGGGGGAAACCAGCGGCUGGGGC